UAAACCUGAAUUUUACUGUAGCAUAGACUUUAGAUGGGUUCCAUUACAACCCAUGCGCUGUGAUGUGCUUAGUUGCACCUGCAAUAAUUGGUGGAUCUGCAAGUUAUCGUUCUCAAGUUCUUCACAUGUACUUGGAAAUAAUUUAUUUAUAUAAAAAAAAAUGUUACUUGGCCAUAAUUUGUGAAGGUUUUUUUCAUCAAUUCUCUUGCAUCAAAUACAUUAUAACAAAAAUGCAUAACUUAUUGUUUAAAAUGCUUAGUAUUAAUUAUCUUCAUCAUUUUAUGAUUGAACCCAUGUAACUGAGAUAAUUUCAUAUAAAGUUUCUGUGCAAAAGAGAGGAGGGGAAGGGCAUUCGGAGAAGAUCAUUAACUAAGCCGUCAGCUUUCUAUGCUGAAUUGAGUUUUGUGCUGUCGAAUCUUAAGCCCCCUAAGUUUUUAAUGAUCUAUUUUUAUGAGCCAUUUUAUCAUGAAUUAAGCUUUUAGCAGUAGAACCUUUAACCCGCUUUUUAGUCUUGGCUCUUGCCACUUGGUGCAACAGUGCAUGUUCACUACUAAAACGGAAGCUUGAACUUGAAAUUUCAUCCUCUAAUUGACGGGUGAUAUCAUUAAAGUGACUAUGAUUUUUUUAUUUUCAUGUCGUGUCAUAUGUGCUUAUUGCAUAAGAGCGUUACUUUUCCUUAAUUUGUCAUUCACAAUAAACUCUUUGAAUUUUCAGAGCACCGUGUGCCGUAUAUUGUUUGCUAGCCUUUGCUUCUCCUGUUUUGAUCAAUUAAGUUUACAGAGAAACAAUUGCGUUACUUGUCUGCAGGCUGUUUAUCAGAAAAAUGGGAACAUAUUUUUCCGUACUACUGCUCAGAAAGCAACCACAUUUGAACAGAGACAACUUGAUGCAACUAAAGCUAAGCUACAGCAGUUAAAUUCACCUUGAUUUUUGUUAGAGCUCUUUAUGGUCUGCCAAUUAUUUUUGUUAACUGCUGUUUUUAGACUAUUUGCUUGCUUGUUAUACCUAACAUUCACUGUUGACUUAACGAAAAAAUGAAAAAUAUAUAUAUAUAUUUUUUUUCUCAUUAA